rnacentral:lncRNA from 1 species
CUUGAGAAGAAAGGCUACACAGAGUUCACUCCUCAUUACAUAACCUGGUAUUGCCCAGAGGCCUUCAUUCUGAGCAAGCAGUGCAAGUCCCAGUGCAUUAAUCACGGUAGAUACUGUGCACCUGACCCGGAACAGGAUUUUAGCAAAGGAUAUGAUGGGAAAGAUGUGGUGGUCCAAAAUUUGCGCCAAGUUUGUGUGUUUAAGGUUGCUAAGGAGCACAAGAAGCCUUGGUUAUGGUGGGACUAUGUUACUGAUUUUGCAAUCCGGUGCCCAAUGAAGGAAAAGAAAUACACGAAGGAGUGUGCUGAUGGAGUUAUCAAAUCACUUGGUAUGUUGUUUUGAAUCUGUUUCGCUAUGUUCUGUGUCAAGGUGCAGCAUUUGUACUGAACUUGUUUAUAAUUUACAGGCCUUGAUCAUAAAGCAAUAGAUAAAUGUAUUGGUGAUCCAGAUGCUGAUGAAGAAAACCCUGUUCUGAAAGCUGAACAAGAUGCACAGGUUAGUAAUGUGAAUGCAUGAUCUUUUCUGUUCAUCCUAUUGUUAACCUGAAUACAUCAUCAUCCACCACCUUGUAUAGAUUGGCAAGGGCUCUCGUGGCGAUGUUACCAUCUUACCAACUCUGGUAAUUAACAAUAGACAAUACAGAGGUAUGCUCUUCUAUCCUGUAAACUAUGACAAAAGGUGUGUUGAGAUUACCAGAUGCACUUAUCUGAGUCUAUUUUUCUCAGGGAAGCUUGACAAAGGAGCAGUUCUUAAAGCACUUUGUGCUGGUUUUCGGGAAACUACUGAGCCAGCUGUUUGCUUGAGUGAAGGUUGGUGCAUUGAUUUCCCUAGUUUUUCCAAUUUUUACUGCAUAUGAUCUAGUGUGUACCUCACUAAGUGUAACUUGCAUGUAGCAUGCUCUUAUUUAAAUCUAAUGUUUUUUAUAACCGUAGAUAUACAAACAAAUGAGUGCCUAGAGAACAAUGGUGGCUGUUGGCAAGAUAAGGCUGCUAACAUCACUGCAUGCAAGGUACUUCUGUGGUGUUAGGUUUUUCUUGGAAAUUUGGUUUAUUAGACAUUUGUUCUGUUUAGCUUAGGCAUAUAACAAUUGUUUGGUGAAUAUGCAGGAUACUUUCCGUGGAAGAGUUUGUGAGUGUCCAGUUGUGAAAGGAGUAAAAUUCGUUGGUGAUGGCUAUACUCAUUGUGAAGGUAUGCUAUAAGGCAGUAGGAUUCAUCUUUCGGCAUUUUCUUUUCUUAUAUGUUAACAUUAUUGGAUAACAUAGUAAGAUUGCUGAAUAUCAAUAGUUGUCAUAGAGCUUUCUGAAUUAUAACAUGUGCUUUUGAAAUUGUAGCUUCGGGAUCUGGGCGUUGUGAAAUUAACAAUGGAGGGUGUUGGAAAGAGACCAGAAAUGGCCGGACAUACUCUGCCUGUACUGUAAGUGUCUUGAGCUUUUUUGCUGUCCUUACAACUUCCAUAUUAUCAGUAGGAUCCUGUCGUGUUUUUGAUAAAAAUGCUUAUAAAAUCUGAAAUUUAAGUUGUGGACUUGUGGUGCCUGUAAUCUGCAGGAUGAUGGCUGUAAAUGCCCGGAUGGUUUCAAGGGUGAUGGUAAGCACAAAUGUGAAGGUAAGGGCCAUUUCCUCAUAGCUACUUGCACAGUGGGUGAUGGUUCAACUGUCCUUUUCUGGUCUGACCUCUGGAAUGGCAAUCUUCUGCAAGAGAAAUUUCCAAGGCUUUAUUCUUUUGCCAGAAACAAAAACAUCUCUGUGGCCCAAUUCCUCCUUAAUAAUGAAAUCGAACAACAAUUUUUCCUACCCCUUUCUAUGGAAGCAUAUCAGGAAUACACAGAGCUCCAAGGCAUGACUCAAGAACUGCAAAUUCAGGAAGGAACAAGAGACAAAUGGUCAUACAUCUGGGGAACAGAUAAAUAUUCUUCAGCCCAGUUUUACAAAUUCCCUUUUCAAAACAUCCACCCCCCUGAACCUUUCAAGGUGUUCCAACAAGUUAAGGGUUUUCUGCUGGCUUCUUUUCAUGGACAGAUUGAACACAAGAAACAUCUUGAAAAGGAAGAAUCAUAGGAUUGAAGGAAAUAACUACAAUUGUGUUCUAUGUCAGGCAAAUACAGAAGAAACUGCCUUCCACCUGUUCUUUGGUUGCACCUUUAAUAAACACUGCUGGCAACUUUUUGGCAUUCACUGGAACACGCACCUGAAUUUCUUUGACAUAUUGAUUUCAACCAAAAUGAACUUCCCAAACUCCUUUUAUAUGGAAACGUUCAUAAUUGGGGCAUGGCAAAUUUGGAAGCAAAGGAACAAUCUCAUCUUUGAAAGAAAUCAGCCUAGCUUGCAAGAUUGGAAACAGCAUUUCAUUGAUGAAAGUCUACUACAAGCUCAUAGACUCAGUGAAGAUAGAAGAGCGGCUUUCCUUAGUUGGAUAGACCUUCUGUAGAUUAUCAGCUGUAUCCUCUGGUUUUGAUCUUUUGGUUUUUAGUUGUGUAUAGCCCUCUCCCUCUAUCCGCUCUCUCACUGCUUUGGCAGUUUGUACAGUUUCCUUUUUAGUUCUUUUGGUUUCAAUAAAAUCCUACACAGCAGGGGCCUCCCUCGCUGUAUUUACGUAAAAAAAAAGGGCCAUUUCCUCAUGUCCUUUUAGGAGUGCUUGCCUGCCCUUCACAGCUUCUGCUAUAAUGGACAUAUGUGAAUAUGCGCUUAAGAAUUGAUUUUUGCUGUUGAACUGUUCCCGCUUUUCUUUUGAUGCUGAUGUGAAAUAUUUGUAACAGAUAUUGAUGAAUGCAAGGAAAGGACUGCAUGUCAAUGCAAAGAAUGCAAAUGCAAGAACACAUGGGGAAGCUACGAGUGCGGCUGCAGUGGAGGAUUGCUUUACAUGAAGGAGCAUGAUACAUGCAUAAGUAUGUAGCCCUCAUACAUGUACACUUUUAGCUUAUUACUUACUCACAUUUUAUGUUGAAAUAGUUUACCAGUGAGACUUGAGGUCAUAAGUUAGCAGAAGUUGCUGGCUAGCCCACCUAUUUGAGGCACAUGAAUCAUUUUAGCUUUUUGCUCUGAUUACUGACAGUUGAAAGCUCAAAGUAGCAACAUACGCUGGAUCUAGACCUGAACUUUGCACUCAAGUGAUACUGAUUCUGCUUUUGCUGUGCUCAGGCAAAAAUGGAGCAACAGAAACAGGCUGGGGCUUCUUGUGGGUCAUCUUCCUUGGCCUUGUGGCAGCAGGAAUUGCGGGAUAUGCAGUAUACAAGUACAGGAUCCGGGUAAGACAUGAGCAGAUUUCAUCUGUUGAUAUUUCUAGGUUCAUUAUCUCUUGUUAACUCCAGGGUGGCAUCUAAUUCUGUUUUUGCAUUGCCUGUGCCUACAGAGGUAUAUGGACUCAGAGAUCCGGGCCAUCAUGGCUCAGUACAUGCCCCUGGACAACCAAGGAGAUGUUCAGAGUCAUUCUCAUCAUAUUGAGAUGUGAGGAUGCGGACUUUCCGAGAGGAAGCAAAGCUGUGAUCCAACUUAUAGAAACUUGGAGUUAGAUGUGUGUGCAUAACCGUAACGAUCUUAUGUCUAGCAUGCAUAGAGAGAUCCUCCUGUAAAUUUCUUGACCGUUCUGUAUCCACGUGAUUCCUGGGUUAGGCGUAGGCUGUACCAUGACAUGGUGUUGUUUAGUAAUAAUUGCCAUCUCUUCCUUUAAGU